rnacentral:piRNA from 1 species
UGGUCCCCAUGAUUUUGAUUUCAGGAA